GGAAACCCCAAGUUAAGAAACCUCAGGGAAGAAAUCACACUGGGGCUUGAACCUGUGGAGGAGACACAGUCAGCCCAGAUUACAAAGCGGCCUAGAAUUCUGAUCUGAAGGCAAGAUUAUUGGCAAAGGAAGAAGACUACCCCAAACCCUCCAUUCCUGAGUAUGCUGAAGCCCAAGAGAUUAGGCCCAAGUGGCUCUGAUUGUGAUCAUUCUUCUCAUAUGCUAUGAAAGCAGAUCUGAAAGCAAGUUUAUUAGCAAAGGAAGAAGACUUCCUUGAACCCUCCAUUCAUGAAUGUGCUGAAGCCUUAGAGAGUAG